rnacentral:rRNA from 1 species
GACGAACCGAGCGAACGUUGUUCGGAAUCACUGGGCUUAAAGGGCGCGUAGGCGGGUGUUCAAGUCCGUGGUGAAAUCCUCCGGCUCAACCGGAGAACUGCCUCGGAUACUGGAUGUCUCGAGGGUGGCAGGGGUAUGCGGAACUAUCGGUGGAGCGGUGAAAUGCGUAGAUAUCGAGAGGAACACCUGCGGCGAAGGCGGGUAGCUGGGCCGACACUGACGCUGAAGCGCGAAAGCCAGGGGAGCGAACGGG